rnacentral:lncRNA from 1 species
UAGAAGAAUAAGAUCUGGAAGUGAGGAAUCUAAUCUAAUGUUUUCGAAAAGCUUCUCCCAGAUACACAAAUUCAAAAAAUUUGUUCACACAACAAAUCAACAGCAGCAGCAACAACAAUAUCAAAUCAAAUUCAACCCUUUUUGCUUUCUUUCUUUAUCAUAAUCAUCAUGAAUUAAAAAAAAAAAAAAAAGGAAAGAGGAAUAUAUCGUGAGAGAGAGGGAGGGAGAAUUCAGAUUCAAAAGAAUGUAUUGCAAGAAGAAGGUUUGUC